UCCUCCACUCCCGCCCUCCGCCUAGUCUGCACGACUCAAAACUUAUUGGUUAUGGGCUGGUCCCGUGGCUCACUAGGCUAAUCCUCCUCCUAGCAGCACCGGCACACUGGGUUCUAGUCCCGGUCGGGGUGCCGGAUUCUGUCCCGGUUGCCCCUCUUCCAGGCCAGCUCUCUGCUGUGGCCAGGGAGUGCAGUGGAGGAUGGUCCAAGUGCUUGGGUCCUGCACCCCAUGGGAGACCAGGAUAAGUACCUGGCUCCUGCCAUCGGAUCAGCGCGGUGCGCCAGCCACAGUGCGCCGGCCACGGCGGCCAUUGGAGGGUGAACCAACGGCAAAAGGAAGACCUUUCUCUCUGUCUCUCUCUCUCUCUCUCUCUCUCUUUCUCACUAUCCACUCUGCCUGUCAAAAAAAAAAAAAGUUAUUUGUUACUUUUCAUUUUAUUGGAAAGACACACACAAAGAGUGAUCUUCCCUCAAUUUUUUCAUUCCCCAGGUGCCCACAACAUCCAAGGUCAGGCCAGGCCAAAGUCGAGAGCCUAGCUUUCCAUCUGGGUCUCUCACAUGGGUGACUGGGACCCAAGUACUUGAACCCAUCACCUGCUGCCUCCCACGGUGCACGUCAGCAGGAAGCCGGAUGGGACGGGGAGUAGCCAGGACUCAAGCCAGGUACUCUGAAUGGGUUUCCGGCAUCUCAAGUGGCGACUUAGCAACUGCACCUGAGACCCUCCGCACUUGGGGAACACCUGGAACUUACAAGUUCGACCCCGUGUUGGACCGCAGGUGCCAAAGAAGACACAUCACAGAGACCGACCAAGACUCUGCCUUGGCCUCGACUCUGGCAGGGCUACUCUGGGUCCUCGACUUCGCUAUACCUGACCUUGAACUUCCCUUUCUGGCCUCACAGAGUCCCGGGUGGGUGAGAAUCUUGCCGAGUCAGGUGAGUGAAACUCCCCCCGUCUCCGCGUCCUGUCUUCCGCUCAGCCGAAGCCCCUGUAUCCAGGAAAGCUCUGUUCCAGGAGCUUUCUGAUCACUGCUCCUUGUUUAUUUAUUUAUAUUUUUUAAAAGAUUUAUUUAUUUAUUUAUUUAAAAGGCAGAGUUAUAGAGAGGCAGAGGCAGAGAGAGGUCUUCCAUCCACUGAUUCACUCCCCACAUGACUGCAACUGCCAGAGCUACGCCGAUCUGAAGCCAGGAGCCAGGAGCUGCUUCCGGGUCUCCCACGCAGGUGCAGGGGCCCAAGGACUCGGGCCAUCUUCCACUGCUUUCCCAGGCCACAGCAGAGAGCUGGAUCAGAAAUGAAGCAGCCAGGACUAGAACCGGUGCCCAUGUGGGAUGCUGGCACUGCAGGAGGUGGCUUUCCCCGCUAUGCUGCAGUGCCGGCCCCUACUCCUUAUUUAUUAGUUUCCGCUGGCCCUUGCUGGAAUCGGAGUUCAAUUCAGUCUCUCUCUCCCCAGUUGUAAGACCCCGUGAGCAGCGUCUUUAUACCUAUUGCCAGGAGCCACCAUGAUCACAACCCUCUAGGCUGGUGCUGGCUGUAGCGGGUUAAGUCACCACUUGGGACGCCAGCAUCCCAUACUGGCAUCCAUCCCAGGCUGGUUUGGUCAUCUGGCAAGUGAACCAGUGAAUAGGAAGAUGUUUCUCUGUCAUUCCUCCUUUAAAUUUGUAAGUAAUAUUUUAUUUUUAUGAUUUACUUAUUUUAUUAUUUGAAAAGCAAUGUUCAGAGUGAGGAGAGAGAGAGAGAGAGAUGUUCCAUCCACUGCUUCACUCCCCCAUAUGACAGGGGCCUGGAACCCCACCCAGGUCUCCCAUGUGGGUGGCAGGGACACAGGUACUCAGGCCAUCUUCUGCUGCUUUCCCAGGUGCAUUAACAGGGAGCUGGAUCUUUCCCAAGUACAUUAGCAUGGAACUGGAUCAGAAGUGGAGCAGCAGGGACUAGAAUCAGCACUUAUGGGAUGCCGGCGUCUGCAGGUGGCAGGCUCAAACUACUGUGCUACAAAGCCACCCCCCACCACCCUGCCUUUGCAUUUUAAAAAAGGCUGCCUUCCCUUCUUCAACAAGUGCCUUGAAUGAUUUUUCCUCAACAAGACCUAUUGCAAUACAAUAUAAAAGCACUAUCAAAAAGGGAGUCCCUAAACCCUAUGUGUUUGCAAUUUAAAGAUAUGUUCCUGGGGCCGGCGCUGUGGCAUAGCAGGUAAAGCCGCAGCCUGCAGCACCAGUAUCCCAUAUGGGCAGCUGUUCGAGUCCUGGCUUCUUCACUUCUGAUCCAGCUCUCUGCUAUGGCCUGGGAAAGCAGUAGAAGAUGGCCCAAGUCCUUGGGCCCUGCACUCAUAUGGGAGAUCUGGAAGAAGCUCCUGGCUCCUAGCUUCGGAUUGGCCCAGCUCUGGCUGUUGUGGUCAUUUAGGGAGUGAACCAGCAGAUGGAAGACUUCACUCUCUCUCUGUGUCUCCUUCUCUCUCUGUGUAACUCUGACUUUCAAAUAAAAACAAAAAAAAUCUAAAAAAUUUAAAAAAU
rnacentral:lncRNA from 1 species